UUGCACAGGUGCUGCAUGGCUGUCGUCAGCUCGUGUCGUGAGAUGUUCGGUUAAGUCCGCUAACGAGCGCAACCCUCGCUGUGUGUUAUAUGUGUCACACGGGACUGCCGGUCUUAAGCCGGAGGAAGUGGGAUGAUGUCAAGUCAGCAUGGCCUUUAUAUCCCUGGGCUACACACACGCUACAAUGGCCAACACAAUAGGUUGCUAAGCCGCGAGGUGGCGCCAAUCCAUAAAGUUGGUCUCAGUUCAGAUUGUAGGCUGCAACCCGCCUGCAUGAAGAUGGAGUUGCUAGUAACCGCAGGUCAGCUAUACUGCGGUGAAUACGUUCCCGGGGCUU
rnacentral:rRNA from 1 species